AGGUUUGGGAUUACUUGAGAAGUGCAAGAAUCUCCUUCUGAUCGAGACUGCUCUGGAGGAAGCCAAUGUUCUAAAUUGCACUUGAGGCCAGGUCAGUGUCCCGACCUGAAGAACAUUCCACUGUUUGCUGAAAGCUGUGUCCGUGAUGGCCAGUGCCCUGCCACACAGAAGUGUUGCCCAACCACCCGUGGCCACGGAUGCAGUGAACCAAGCGGCCACGGCCAAGGAAUUGUUGUGAUAUGUAAUACGUGUGUACGUAUGUACGUGUGUGUACGUGAGUACGUGAGCCGGAAAUGUAUGUUGUACUGAACAUGUGAAUCCUUAGUAAAGAAGUUCUGAUCCA